CUCAGCGCCGUCUUGGCAUGCCUCCACAAACUUCACACAACCAGCAGAGAGAAGAAAGAUGCCAGGGGAAAUGCUGCUUCAACUUUCUUUGCACCAAAACUGCAUCUUGUUUCAUCUUAAUAAUAAACGCAUUUUACUCUCCGUUCUUAUCAGAGAGCAUUCUCUCUCUUUUAGCGGUGCAGGGAAGUAAACAAACGGACACGCAGAACUCGCAUUCGGAAUGAAACGAUGAAACAUCGCCAUUGGAAAUAAAUAAAGGCAUCAUCGGAGGGUAUGCAGGUAUAUAUGAAUGGAGGUUUACAUGGAGACAUGGAAGACUGCAUUGUCUCGGUAAAGAAAGAAGCAGAUUUUAUUACCAUCUCUUUAAUACAACAACACAACAACAAAAGUGAAGAGAUUAAAGAUUUCUCUUCCAUCUUCAAUCAAAUCGACGUUUCUGAUUUCUCCGCCAGCCCGCCGAGAAUCAGCAGCCGUACCGCCCGUCGACAGAGCGAGGAAACGGCCUCCCGUCAUCACCCAAGCCUCGAGGAACCGAGUCUGAGUUAAAGGAUGGAUGAACACACAUUCCACCUGCAUCCUCAUGCGAUUCAAGCAGUAGUUGGCAGUGAAGAGUGCGUUUUGCCUCUUCUGGUUCGUGCAGCUUUCAUUCUGUGCAGGGACGUUCAUGGCAGGAGCCCUUUGCACUUGGCUGCCUCUUGUGGUCAUGCAGGGUUACUGGGCUCUUACUGGAGGCAGCAUCUGCCUCAGACCCGCUUUACCCUCUGCUGGACUACACUGGCUACAAACCUGUUCACUGGGCAUCUUACCAUGGGCACAGAGACUGUUUGGAAGCUUUACUUGAAUAUAAAUCAUCAUGAUCAUCAAGAUGGCACCGCCUCGGCAAUAUGACCAAAUCCACCUGAAACGGGAGGAAGUUGUGAAACUAACUGAAGAAAGCAACCGUGAAACUAAACAGUUCAAGGAAAAGAUGCAGAAGCUUAGAGAGAACUGCAACCAGCAGACUCACAAAGCUCAGGACAUCUAUGAACGUCUCCUUGCUACUUUGGAGCAGUACAACAAGCGGAUUGAAAGCAUUGUGGUGGAUACCAAUGCCGACAUCUUAAAAAUUAAAUCCCAUUUCUAGAAUGUAAUUAUUUCAUACUGAACUGUUAAGUUCCUGAUCUUUGUUGAAUGUCUGUUGUUUCAUAACUUUUUAAAUGUAGAGGCAUAUUUUUUUUAUUAUUUUUUAUUAAAUGUUAUAACUUACAUUCCAUUUACUCACUUUACACUGUACAGAGAAUGAACUAAUUUACUAAAAAAAAAUUUUGUUUUGUUAUCUUAAAUAUGAAACCCAAUAAUCCCUAUACUCACUUGGGGUUGUCAGUUAGUGAUUACUAUCUAAACUCAGCAAAAAAAGAAAUGUCCUACAACUGCUUUUAUUUUCAGCAAACUUAACGUGUUAAUAUUUGUAUGAACGUAAAAAGAUUCAACAAAGACAUAAACUGAACAAGUUUCACAGACAUGUGACUAACAGAAAUGGAAUAAUUUGUUCCUGAACAAAGGGGGGGGGUCAAAAUCAAAAGUAACAGUCAGUAUCUGGUGUGGCCACCAGCUGCAUUAACUACCACAGCGCAUCUCCUCCUCAUGGACUGCACCUGAUUUGCCAGUUCUUGCUGUCAGAUGUUACCCCACUCUUCCACCAAAGCUUUCGCAAAUUCCCUGACAUUUCUGAGGGGAAUUGCCCUAGCCCUCGCCCUCCGAUCCAACAGGUCCCAGAUGUGCUCAAUGGGAUUGAGAUCCGGGCUCUUCGCUGGCCAUGGCAGAACACUGACAUUCCUGUCUUGCAGGAAAUCAUGUACAGAACGAGCAGUAUGGCUGGUGGCAUUGUCAUGCUGGAGGGUCAUGUCAGGAUGAGCCUGCAGGAAGGGUACCACAUGACGGAGGAGGAUGUCUUCCCUGUAAUGCACAGCGUUGAGGUUGCCUGCAAUGAAAACAAGCUCAGUCCGAUGAUGCUGUGCAGCACCGCCCCAGACCAUGACGGACCCUCCACCUCCAAAUCGAUCCUGCUCCAGAGUACAGGCCUCGGUAUAACGCUCAUUCCUUCGACGAUAAACGCGAGUCCGACCAUCACUCCUGGUGAGACAUAAACUGCGACUCGUCAGUGAAGAGCACUUUUUGCCAGUCCUGUCUGGUCCAGCGAAGGUGGGUUUGUGCCCAUAGGUGACAUUGUUGCUGGUGAUGUCGGGUAAGGACCUGCCUUACAACAGGCCUACAAGCCCUCAGUCCAGCCUCUCUCAGCCUAUUGCGGACAGUCUGAGCGAGAGUGCAAGACGAGAGAAAGGUAUUGAAAAGGAUACAAAAAAUUAUUAGAAAAUAAAACAAAACAUCACCAGCAUCUCCCUACUCACUGUCUUUAUUAUUUUCAGCUGUUUUUCUUUUUUUUUUUUUUGCACAUAAGUGCAAAUAAGCGCAAAAAACAGGCGUGAGCCAUUCUUUCAUUUUUGUUGACGUUCUCCGAAUAAACUGCACAAGUUUAUGAAUUUCGUUAUUGUAAUUUUAAGAUGUGUUUGG